GUCUGGUUAAUUCCGUUAACGAACGAGACCUUGACCUGCUAAAUAGUCAGACGAUUCUCGAAUCGCUCUCGACUUCUUAGAGGGACUGUUGCGUGUUUAACCAAAGUCAGGAAGGCAAUAACAGGUCUGUGAUGCCCUUAGAUGUCCUGGGCCGCACGCGCGCUACACUGACGAUGGCAACGAGUCGCUCCUUCACCGAAAGGUGUGGGUAAUCUUGUGAAUCAUCGUCGUGCUGGGGAUAGAUCAUUGUAAUUCUUGAUCUUGAACGAGGAAUUCCUAGUAAGCGCGAGUCAUCAGCUCGCGUGAU
rnacentral:rRNA from 1 species